GUUUUUUACUAUUUGUAUUUGUUAGUUAAAUAUUAAACGUAUUAUUUCUAUAUUAAUAAUGGCUGUACAACCGAAUCAGCAAUUUACUACGGAUCCAUCUUCCCAAAUCAGUUUUGUUAAAUAUUUCACGAAUCUUCCAGAAAAAUCAAAUUCUACUAUACGAUUUUUUAAUCGAGGUGAUUAUUAUACAUUACAUGGAAGCGAUGCUUUAUUUGCUGCUAAAGAAGUUUUUAAAACAACAUCUGUUUGUAAAAUGCUCGGUGCUGAACCUUAUAAGACUGAAGGUAUUAUACUGAAUAAAAGUCAUUUCGAGGCAUUUAUACGUGAUUUAUUAUUAGUAAAACAAUAUAGAGUAGAAGUUUACAUCAAUCAAGGAUCAAUAAAAAAUCAAAAUUGGGUAUUAGAAUAUAAAGGUUCGCCUGGUAAUCUAUCACAAUUUGAAGAUAUAUUAUUUGCUAACAAUGAUAUUGCACUUGGAGUAUCAGUAAUUGCUGUAAAAUUAGGAACAGAAGGAAAAUCCAAAAUUUUAGGAUUAAGCCAUCUUGAUACGGUAGCAAAUUCUUUCUCAGUUUGUGAAUUCCAAGAUAGUGAAUCUUUCUCAAAUUUAGAAUCACUUAUUGUUACACUUAAUCCAAAAGAAUGUCUACUAAUCCAAGGAGAUAGUACUUAUGAAUUUGAUACUUUGAAACAGGUAAUAGAAAGAAGUAAUGUUUUAGUUACUUUAAGAAAAAAAAGUGAAUUUUCUAAUGAUUCAGUUGUACAAGAUUUAAAUACAUUACUCAAAUUUACAAAAGGUCAGCAACAAAAUGCACAAUCCUUACCUGAAAUAAAUUUAACAUUAGCUAUGUCAGCUACAUCUGCAUUAAUUAAAUAUUUGGAUCUGACAUCUGAUGAGGGAAAUAUUCAUCAAUUUAGUAUAGAACAAAUAAAACAAUCACGUUAUUUAAAAUUAGAUACAGCAGCUAUAAAGGCUCUUAAUAUUGAGCAUCGUUCAAAUGUAUCUUCUAAUUUAAAUGGAAAUGUACCUGAUAGUAUUUUGACUUUAUUAGAUAAAUGCAAAACUCCACAAGGUCAUAGAUUAAUUGCGCAAUGGAUUAGACAGCCUCUUAAAGAUUUGGCACUUAUAAAAGAAAGACAUGAUAUAGUAGAAGUAUUAGUUAAAAACAAUGAAUUAAGAUCUACUCUUAGCGAAGAUCACCUGAGACGAAUACCUGACUUACAGCAAUUAGCCAAAAAAUUAUCAAGAAAGAAAGCUCAUCUUCAAGACUGUUAUAAAAUUUAUAUGAGUGUAUCUCAUUUGCCAAGACUGAUACAACAAUUUUCUGAUGUUUCUAACAUAACAGCCUUAAAAGAAUUAAUUAUAGAUCCAUUAAAAGAACUGAUCAAGGAUAUGGACAAAUUUCAACAAAUGAUUGAACAAACUAUUGAUUUAGAUGCAGCGGAAAAGGGAGAUUUUUUAGUUCAUCCUGAUUUUGACGAUGAAUUAAAAGAACUCAAAGGAGAAAUGGAUGAAAUGGAAGAAAAAGUACAAUCGCAGUUAAGUAAAGUAGCUGAGGACUUGGGUGUAGAAUCAGGAAAAUCAUUAAAAUUGGAAACCAAUCAACAGUUGGGCUAUUACUUUCGAAUAACGUUAAAAGAAGAAAAGAUACUAAGAAAUAAAAAACAUUAUACUAUAUUAGACUCUAACAAAAAUGGUGUAAGAUUUAGAAAUAAUAAGUUAAAUGAAUUAAAUGAUGAAUAUAUUGCUGCUAGAGAGAAGUAUACAAAUCAACAGAAAACUGUUGUCACAGAAAUUAUUGAAAUUGCAGCUGGAUAUACCACUCCGAUUAAAAGUAUUGGAGACGUUAUUGCAUGCCUUGACGUUUUCGUGGCAUUUGCCUUAACUGCAGCAAAUGCACACAUAACAUAUAUUCGCCCAGAAAUGCUUCCUAGCGAGCAUGGUGAAUUUAAUCUUGUUCAAGUGAGACAUCCUUGUUUGGAAAUACAAGAAAGCGUAGAUUAUAUCGCUAACGAUGUAUAUUUUAAAAAAGAUAAAGUUCAUUGUUACAUUAUAACUGGUCCAAAUAUGGGUGGUAAAAGUACGUAUAUACGUUCUGCUGGUGUAACUGCAUUAAUGGCACAUAUUGGAAGUUUUGUUCCUUGUGAAAAAGCAACAAUAUCUUUAUUGGAUUGUAUAUUAGCAAGAAUUGGAGCUGAUGAUUCACAAUUAAAAGGACUUUCAACGUUUAUGAUGGAAAUGAUAGAAACAGCUGCUAUUUUAAGGACAGCAACAUCUAAUUCACUUGUGAUCAUUGAUGAGCUUGGUAGAGGUACAUCAACGUAUGAAGGAUGUGGUAUCGCUUGGUCCAUAGCAGAGCAUUUAGCAAAAGAUAUUAAAUCUUAUUGCCUAUUUGCAACGCAUUUUCAUGAGAUUACGAGACUUUCUGAAGAAAUACCUACAGUUAAAAAUCAACACGUGACAGCUCUUGUACAAAACGAUAAACUUACUUUACUUUAUAAAGUAAAACCUGGUGUUUGCGAUCAAAGCUUUGGUAUUCAUGUUGCUAAAAUGGCUAAUUUUCCAGACAACGUAAUAGAGUUUGCUAAACGAAAACAAACAGAAUUAGAAGAUUAUCAGGGAACAAUUUUUAAAGGAUCUGAUUGUCCAGAAAAAAAGCGAAAAAUUAUAAAGGAAGCUGAUGAAUUGAUAACUGAAUUUCUCAAUGAAUGCAAAACACUAGAUAAAUCUUUGUCAAAUGAACAGCUAAGAGAUAAAAUCUUAGAAUAUAAAAAAAAGAUUUGUUCUCGUGAAAAUCCAUAUAUCGAUGCAUUAUUAUCAGAAGUUUGCUAAUUUUUCUUUUAUUUUUAAAUUCAAAUAAUAACAUAUUAAGAACAUGUUAUACUUUAUGCACAUUAAAUAAAAAAAGAAUACCUUUUAGAUGAAAACAAUUAAUAAUUGAAUAAUAUAUUAACACUGACGUCCAGGCGUUACGAAAAAAUUUCUUCGCUUGACGUCGGCAGUGUUACUUCAGAUUACUUCGCUUACAACCGGCCGUUCUUGGAAGUAGUACCCCGGUGUCUUGAAGUGUACAAAAAAAAAUUUUUUUAAUUAAUUUACGGCUACGCGCACUUGUUUCCUUUAGCUAUGGCUGAGAGCGCGUCGAUUUGAUGGAUCUGAUUUUUCUAAUAUGAAAAAACCUACCUUUAACUUAGGAAAAAAUAGAUAAAUAAGUCGACAAAAAAUUGUGAAAUGGAAUCAAUUUAUCUUUAACUCAAUUAGUAUAAAAAUAAAUAAUACUGCAUGUAAAAUGCUACAAAAACAUCAAAGAGAA
rnacentral:misc_RNA from 1 species